UACGGGGGGGGCAAGCGUUGUUCGGAAUUACUGGGCGUAAAGGGCUCGUAGGCGGCCAACUAAGUCAGACGUGAAAUCCCUCGGCUUAACCGGGGAACUGCAUCUGAUACUGGAUGGCUCGAGUUUGGGAGAGGGAUGCGGAAUUCCAGGUGUAGCGGUGAAAUGCGUAGAUAUCAGGAGGAACACCGGUGGCGAAGGCGGGUCUCUGGGCAGUAACUGACGCUGAGGAGCGAAAGCGUGGGGAGCGAACAGG
rnacentral:rRNA from 1 species